GCCUGGCUGGCUCAGUCGGUAGAGUGUGGGACUCUUGAUCUCCAGGUUAUGGGUUUGAGUCCCAUGCUGGGUG